GAGGCAAUUUGCAUUAGUCUGGUUCUCAAGAGAGGGUUGGCAAGACAAUUUCCCUUUGACUACUCUGAUUUGCAAAAUUUGGGCUUUUUAAAUUGCAGUUUUUCAAAGGAGGUAUUUGAUAGAACACAGGUAACAGACUUUCUUCUGUUUUCCCCGUGGGUAUUUUGUGCGCUCCUUGUAAGGCCUUAACCCUCAUGGGCAUGGAGUUCACCAGAGCUUCACAGGUUGCCACUGGAGUCCUCUUUCACUCCUCCAUGAUGACAUCACGAAGCUAAUGGAUGUUAGAGACCUUGCGCUCCCCCACCCCACCUUCCGUUUGAGGAUGCCCCACAGAUGCUCAAUAGGGUUUAGAUCUGGAGACAUGCUUGGCCAGUCCAUCACCUUUACCUUCAGCUUCUUUAACAAGGCAGUGGUCGUCCUGGAGGUGUGUUUGGGGUCGUUAUCAUAUUGGAAUACUGUCCCAUAGCGGGCCGGGGGUCCGGCGGUGUCAGGGAGACUGUAGGCUCCAUUCCCAGCAGAGGCUGUGUGAUGUUGCCGUGGAGGAGUGCCUCCAGUCCCAGGCUCAACGGUGUGCAGUAGGCCGCAGAUUUGCACCGCGGUUUGGAGUGUUUUAGCGUGUGAGAGAAAGGCAUCUAUCGAUGUGUUGCGGCUCGGGGAGACCAGCUGGAGAGUUAAGUAAGUCGGAUGGGUCUUAGUUUUCACGAUAUUCGGUUUGAUAUUGUAGAUUUUUUUGGGAGCUGUUAGAAAUAGCAUCCGUUCAUCAGGCUUGCAAGCUCCGCCCCCUUCAUGCAACCAUUUUACCACCAAUCUAUGCCAAACUUUAAAAAAAA